GAUUAUGGCUCAGGACGAACGCUAGCGACAGGCUUAACACAUGCAAGUCGAGGGGCAGCAUAAAAGUAGCAAUACUUGGUGGCGACCGGCGCACGGGUGAGUAACGCGUAUGCAACCUACCUAUCAGAGGGGAAUAACCCGGCGAAAGUCGGACUAAUACCGCAUAAAACAGGGACACCGCAUGGUGAUAUUUGUUAAAGAAAUUCGCUGAUAGAUGGGCAUGCGUUCCAUUAGGUAGUUGGUGAGGUAACGGCUCACCAAGCCGACGAUGGAUAGGGGAACUGAGAGGUUGGUCCCCCACACUGGUACUGAGACACGGACCAGACUCCUACGGGAGGCAGCAGUGAGGAAUAUUGGUCAAUGGGCGAGAGCCUGAACCAGCCAAGUCGCGUGAAAGGAAGAAGGAUCUAUGGUUCGUAAACUUCUUUUGCAGGGGAAUAAAGUGCAGGACGUGUCCUGUUUUGUAUGUACCCUGAGAAUAAGGAUCGGCUAACUCCGUGCCAGCCGCAGC
rnacentral:rRNA from 1 species